AGAAUGAACGUUGGCGGCGUGGAUUAGGCAUGCAAGUCGAACGGGCCUGGUUUUCGGAUCAGGUCAGUGGCGCAAGGGUGAGUAAGGCGACGGUAACCAACCCCAUGGUUGGGUAUAGCCGCGGGAAACUGCGGGUAAUCCCCAGCGAUGUAAGAUGCCGGCAUCGGUGUUUUAUCAAAGCUUUGGCGCCGUGGGACGGGCCGUCGUGGUAUUAGGUAGUUGGCGGGGUAACGGCCCACCAAGCCGAUGAUGCCUACCGGGCGUGCGAGCGUGGCCCGGCACACUGGGACUGAGACACUGCCCAGACUCCUACGGGAGGCUGCAGUCGAGAAUCUUCGGCAAUGGGCGCAAGCCUGACCGAGCGACGCCGCGUGGAGGAUGAAGGCCUUCGGGUUGUAAACUCCUGUCGAGGGGGAGGAAGGGGAAACCUUGACCGAUCCCUGGAGGAAGCACGGGCUAAGUUCGUGCCAGCAGCCGCGGUAAGACGAACCGUGCGAACGUUAUUCGGAAUCACUGGGCUUAAAGCGCGUGUAGGCGGAUGGGAACGUCGGAUACUGAAAGCCCCCGGCUCAACCGGGGAAGUGGUUCCGAAACGACCUGUCUGGAGGGACGUAGGGGGAUCUGGAACUUCCGGUGGAGCGGUGAAAUGCGUUGAGAUCGGAAGGAACGCCCGUGGCGAAAGCGAGGUCCUGGACGUCUGCUGACGCUGAGACGCGAAAGCUAGGGGAGCAAACGGGAUUAGAUACCCCGGUAGUCCUAGCCGUAAACGAUGGGCACUGGGUAGGGGGCUCGCCGAUGGGCUCUCUGCCGUAGCGAAAGCGUGAAGUGCCCCGCCUGGGGAGUAUGGUCGCAAGGCUGAA
rnacentral:rRNA from 1 species